rnacentral:snoRNA from 1 species
GCAUGGUUUUGGAUUUAAGGAAAGGCCUUAAUUCAUGACCUUUCUUUUGUACUCCAUGCUAGAUCAAAUACUUUACCCUGAACCAUUGUCAGGCUUAAAUAUUUUGUGGGCCUGGUACACUGAUGGGGGUAGAACAUGU